CAACACAGAAUCCACAGAAGGAAGACAAUGGAGCUACAAGGUGGGAGAAGCUGCCUGGGUCUCUAAAUCACUGUAAGAUAAUCAACUGCUUGGGAAAACCUAUUUGGAUUUUAAGUGAACAUGAAAUAAACUACUAGCCUGCUCUCAAUUGACUGGGGAUGCCAUUCAAGAGGAGAUGAAGAAGUCUGUCUUCUGAAUUCUGACCUGAUGUCUACAUACUUAACAAUCUGGCAGGAUAUAAUAUUCUCGGGUCACACCUUCUUUCAGAACUUGCAGACACUGCAUUAUUUCUUUUGGCACUGAAUUCAACUGGGAGAAGUCUGAGGCCAGCCAAAUGUUUAACCAUUUGAAAGUACUUCUUUUUUGCCUAGGUUUUCCAUUUUCUUUUUAGGAACUCUCUUUUUUAAUCACUAAACUUUUAUUUAAAUACUAUAUAUCUUAGUGUUAUCAUUCUCUGUCAAAUUUUCCUAGAAGAUGGUGUGCUUUUUCCAUACAUUACUUAAGGGACUAUAUCUCAUUUCCAAAAGGAAAUUGUUUCAGGCCUUGACUUGAUCCCUCAGUGUGAUAAGUUAAUACAAAAACUUGGAAUCCCAUUUUCAUCACAGAACAUCAAUCUCAGUUCAUUCUCCUUGUUUCAAAAAAGAACUAUUUUCACUCACCAAAAGUCCUAAAGAAGAAAAACCAGGUAUAUCUAAUCAAUUCCUAUCACUCUAAUGUGGGGAUUAUUAAGGGAGAAAUCUAGGAAUUCCGUUGGCUUUGUAGGGAUAGAAAUGAGGGAAGGAUACUUACGAAGUCACUCCAGAAUCUCUGGGUUCUUUUUUUUCGCUGUCAAUAUUUUGCAUGCAUUGCUUUAUGUGAUGCUGCUUUCCUUGUCUGGUUACAUUUGAAUUUGUUGUUUUGGAGGGGGAGAGUCUCUACUUUACUAUAUAAUGUUUAUUUCAUUAGGUUGGGACAAGGGAUAUUCUUUCAUCUCUCUUUAUCAACUUGAUCUGGAAGUCCACAAUUCCAAAUGUUUAUUCUUUGUAAAAUGUUUGUGGUUUUGGUUUUCUUUUUUUUGAGGGGGGAGGGGGCUGGGUGUGGUGAUAUGGUUUGAAGGCUUCUUCUCCACCUUCAAUCCAGAAGUUAAAUAAUUUCCCACUGCCAAUUAUUGAAUAAUUCAUAUUUUAAUUAUGUUUCUAGUAUCUAAGCAUACAUAUAUAUAUAUAGAUAUACACGUAUAUCAGGAUGUGUUUCUGUGCUUUCUAUUCUACACCCCUUCUUUAAGUUUAUUCCUUGAUAUAAAGUCCACUAGACUUAUUACAAUAAAUACUCAUUAUUCUUAUUCUUCAAACUUCUAUUGACAUUUUUACUUAUUUGUUCAUCUGAGUUAGCUUUUGAAGAGUUUUUUUAACCUUUAAAUAAAAAUUAUAUUUUUUACCAGAAUGACAUGUUUACAAAUUGAUUUAUUACAAUUUUAUCUUUAUAUAAUUGAGUCUUCCCAUUAAUGUACACAGCAUAGCUCUCCAUUUACUGUAUUUUUAAUUUUUAAUGGUUUUCAGGAAGCAAUUUAUAAUUGUAUUUACAUUUCCAAUUUCCUUUGGCUAUCAUUGUAUAUAUUAUUCUGUAGUAAGAAGCAGUAGUUACUCAACUAGUAGAUAUUAUUAUACUUUCUGAUCUUCUUCAAUCUAUCAGGACAGUUGUAAUAUUAUUUCAGAUUUUAACCUACAUCUCCCCAGCAUUUUAUUUUGAGGCUAGAAUGGAGGAUAAGGUAUAGGAACUCAAUGCUAUAUGCACCAAUGUUUACACGGAAACUAUAUCAAAACACAGUUCUGCAUUAAGGGAGCAUACGAUAGGUUUGUUGGUGAUUACUAGUGAAGCAAAACAGGGCAUGUUUUGUGCUCCUGUAGUUUUAUUUUAUUUAUUAAUGACUGGAUAUUACCCUUCCCAUUUUUUAAUUGAUGGAAAAGUACUAUGUAUAUGUGGGAAAAACCGAAUGAAUGAACACAUAAAAUAUAUAGAAAAUGAUAUUACCAAGAAUUAGAAGUGGACCUCUUAUAUGUCAUUAUAAUGUACUAUAUUUUUCUUAUAAUUAUUAUAAUCUGUCCUAUAAUUUGAAAAGGCUUUCCUUAUUCAAAAGCUUCUAUUUUAUCUCAAUGAGGUAUGGGAAAGUUUGAUUCAUUUUGUUGGUUCCUUAAAAACAUCAGCUUUGUAGUUAGUGAUCCUUUCAACAGUUCGUUUUUAUUUUUCUCGUUUCUUCAUGUUAGCCUCCACCCUUACUAAUUUGUACUUCCUACUUUACUUUAUUGUACUUUAAUUAAUGUUGUAAUAUAAGUACAAAGUUCUUCUAACUUUAAUCUUUAUUUUUCAGUAAUGGAGGUAUUUAUUUCUGAUAAGAGUUUUUGCUAUGAAGUACAGAAAAUUUUAGAUAAUUUCUAAUUUUUCUUUUAUUUUCUUCUAUUCUCUAAAGGAUAUCUUCACACUGCUUCUUAAUUUCUAAGUAGGUAAGAUAUUUUUGCAUAAUUUCUUUUUUUAUUUCCAAUUUUAUCACAUUAUGGUCAGGAGGCAGUGUCCAAUAAAAUGUCUACUCUGUCUGCUUUGUUCAUUUGAUGGCCCAGGACAUGACCCGCCUUUUUUUUUUGUAUAUCUUCUUUAGCCAUGAAGUAUAUCCUCAAAAUAUGUAAGAUUGAACAUAUAUCUGUUGAGCCAAGUUUUAUGAAUCUAUUACUCAAUUUCUCUAUAUCUGUAUGUAUUAUCAAUUGGUCCCAUUCUGAGAGAGAUAUGUCAUCUCUACCAUUAUUCUAUUUUAUCAAGUUCUUUUGCAUCUCAAAUGAAUUUUGCUUUAUAUUUUUGACAUCGCUAUUUGAUGUUUUCAGGUUUAUGAACUUAACACCAUCUACUUAAAUUAUUCCUUUCAAAAUACAGAAUGUCCUUCCACAUUCUCUUUUGAACUUUUAACCUCAGGUUCAACUCAUUGUGUUUUGGGCUUUCAAAUCCCAUCUGAUUUUUACAGUGAUAAUAAAUUUCUGCUUUACUUUUGUUUGCUAUACGUUUCUUUACUCAGUUUUUUUUUUAAACAUAAUAAAUAUUCAUGUAACCACCAACCAACUUAGUAAGUAUUUCUGGAUACCUGUCCAUCAUCCCAUUCUUCACACUCUACUUCGGGAUAACCAAUAAUCAUAAAUUUUGUUUUUUAUUCCCAUGUACGUCUUUAUACUUUUAAUUAGAUGAAUAUCUAUUCAUACGCAAUUUACAAUUUUGUCUUCACGUAUUUUUGAAAUUGAAAUAAAUUGCAUCAUUAUUAUGUAUCCUUCUGCAACUUGCUUUACUGCUUUAUAUUUGAUUUGUGCAAGGUAACUUUACUUCAUUCAUUUUCAGUUCUGAAUAUAUCCAACUGUAUGAAUAUACCUUAGUUUAUUUAUCUGUUCUCCUAUUCUAUGUUGUUUCCAACUUUUAAUAUUAGCAAUGUUAUAUUGAACACUGUUCACACACAUGAGACUUUCUCUAUGUCAAGGAGAGAGUUCCUUAGUCAUAGAGUAUAAGUAUAUUUAUCUUUUUCAAAAAUUGUAAAUUGUUCUUCAAUGUGAUUGUACCAGUAUAUAAUUCCACCAGUGACUGGAGAGUUACCACUGAUGUACAUCCUUUGUCAACACUUGAUACUGUCAACAGUUUUAAAAUUUACCAUCCUGAUAAGCAUUAAAUGCAUGUUUUAUUUGCAUUUUCUUGAUUACUACUGAAGUUGAGUAUAUCACCCAUAUGUUUACUGCUAACUCAAGUUUCCUCUUCAGUGAAUUGUCUGUUUAUAUUCUUCAUGAUCCUAACAGAUUUUCUUUUUCUAAUUUAUUUGCACAAUUUUUUUCGUAUGUUUAGGAUACAAAUCCACUGUAUCCUAGAUAAACUGCAAAUAUCUUCUUUCACUUUGUGCCUUGUCUUUUCACUUUUUAUGGUAUCUUUUAAAGUACUUUUUAUUCUAAUGGUCAAAUUUAUCUUUUUGCUGUAUGAUUUAUGUGUAUUUAUUGUUUUAGAAAUCCUUCCUUAAUCCAAGGUGAUAAUACUAUUAUCCUGCACUUCCAAAGAGUUUUAAAUUUUGUUUUUCACAUUUUUACUAGCUUUACUGAACUAUAAUACACAUACCACAAAAUUCACACAUUUUGCAAAUGAACAAUUCAUUUAAAAAUUAUAUAGAGUCAUGCCACUAUCAUUACAAUAUAGUUAUAGGUCAUUUUUAUCAUCCUCAACAGUUCCCUGUGCCCACUGGCAGUUAAUUCCCACUCCCAUUGCUAGCCCCAUUUAACCACUUAUUUGCAUUCUGGACAUUUCAUAUAAACAGAAGCAUAUAGUAUAUAGUUUUUGCAUCUGGCUUCUUUCACUUAGCAUAAUAGUUUUAGGACUCAUUAUGUCAUAGCAUGCAUCAGUAGUUUGUUCCCUUUUAAUUGCACAAUAGUAUUCCAUUGUAUAGACAUAAAACAUUUUGUUUGUCCAUUCAUCAGCUGAUUGACUUUUGGAUUGUUUCUAGUUUGGAGCUACUAUUAAUAAUAGUACUGGCUGGGCACAGUGGCUCACGCCUGUAAUCCCAGCACUUUGGGAGGCUGGGGUGGGCAGAUCAUCUGAGGUCAGGAGUUUGAGACCAGCCUGACCAACAUAGUGAAACCCCAUCUCCACUAAAUAUACAAAAAAAUUAGCUGGGCAUGGUGGCACGCACCUGUAGUCCUGGCUACGUGGGAGGCUUAGGCAGAAGAAUCGCUUGAACAUGGGAAGCAGAGGUUUCAGUGAGCGGAGAUCGUGCCACUAUACUCCAGCCUGGGUAAUAGAGUGAGACUCCAUCUCAAAAUAAUAAUAAUAGUAAUAAUAGUACUAAGAACAUUCAUGCGAAGUCUGGCUAUGAACAUGCUAUCACUUCUUUUGGAUACAUUCCUAAGUAUGGUAAUACUUUUUAAGAAAUUAGGAAAUCCUUUUGGAACAUGGCUGCAGGAUUCUACAUUCCAUCAGCAAUGCAUAAGCAUUCAGUAAGUAGUCUAUGCUGUGGUUUUGUUUUCGUUCAGUUCUAACUAACGUCUAAUGUUCUUUAUGAUUUCUUUUUUGACUCAGGGAUUAGUUACGUUCUUUACUUCCAAAUACCUUGCAAUUUCUCAAACCUCUUUCAUUCAAAUUUAAUUCUGUGUGGUCAGAUAAUACACUCUGUUUGAUUUAUUAGUUUUUAAAUUUACUGAGACUUGUUUUAUAUUUUACACCCCAACUCAUAAUACCUUUUGGAGAAUGCUGCAUAUGCACUUGAAAACAAUUUUGCUAGCUUUAAGUGGAGUGUUUCAUAAAUGCCAAAAUAUUACCCAAUAGGAUGUCAAACAGGGGUGGUGAAAGCAGGCUUUUGUUAAUUGUUAGUUUUUCAAAGGGGAUGCUUCUAACAUUUCAUUACUAAAUAGGACUGUGGAAAGUUUUCAGUAGACAUAUGUUACCAGAUUGAAUAAAUUAUUUUCUAUUUGUGGUUUGCUAAAAAUUUUUAUGACAAAUGAUACUGAAUUUUAUGAAAAUUUUUUGCACACAUCAUAAUUAUAUAGCUAUUCUCCUUUGUUAAUAAAUAGAUGAAAUGUUGUCCUGAUGUUAAACCACCUUUACAUUCUAUGACUACCCUCAAUUUGGUUAUGCUGUAUACUUUUAAAAAAGUAACUGAUAGACUCAUGUUCAUAGGGGAGAUUGACCAUAAAUUUCCCUUAUAAUUGGAUAAUCCAUAUCCAAUUUUGGUAUCAUGGUUGUAUGAAUUAUAUUAGGUGAAAUAGUGGCCGAUUCCUUCUUUAGCUAGUCAUGGAAAAGUAUUUUAUAAGUGAAUAAUACGGCUUUUUGGCCUUGCCGUUACUCUGUUUAAUAGUCUUGCUUUCUGUUUCAUUCACUUCUGCCCUUUACUAUUUCUUUUGCCUUCUUAGGCUGACAAUUAAUGAGGUAAGCAUAACCGAGAACCUAGAAAAAUGAAAACCUAAGUACCUUUCUGCUUUUAAUAUAAAUAUUCACAACUAUGAAUUUUCUCUAGUAUCAUUUAGACCAAAUCUCACAAGUGUAAAUAUACAUAAUUUUAAAUAUUUUUACUGCAUUUUAUAAUUUGUAUAAUGAAUAACUUCUUGUUAUAGUUAUUUAGAAGAUAUAUAUAUUUCUAUUUUCUAAGUUUAAUUUUUGUCAUUGAUUUCUUGUUUAAUUGCACUGUUUGCAGAGAAAGUCAUCUGUAUGACAAUUUGUUUAAAUUUCUUGAGCCUACUUUAUGGUCUCAUUUAAAUAAUUUCUAUAGUUUUGUGUGUUUGAAAAGAACGUGUAUGACACUCAAGCCAAUGGAUUUUUUUUUUCAAAUUAUACUUUUGAGAUUUUUUGUAAUUGAUCUUCUAAGGAAAAAAAUAUGUUAAAAUUUGUAAAAUACUCUUCCAAAUUUAGUCAAUAAUAGAUUUCUACGACUCACCUACACUAAGUGUAUACGCAUUUGAAACUUUUACAUUCCUAGUGAAUUACACCUUUUUCAUAACAUGGUGGCCCCCUUCAUCCUCAUUAAAUUUUUUGCCUUAAAGUUUAUUUUUAUAUAUUUAAAUAAUGCAAUAACAGCUUUUAUCAUUUAAUUUUUAGAAUAAGUAAUACACUUACCUAGUUAAAAAUAUAUGACAUAAAAAAAUACAUAGAGAUUUUACACCCAACUCAUCCUUUACAUUUCCACAUCACUCACAGCUCCCCCAUACAAGUGAACACUUUAUAAUUUCUCAUUUCCCUACCACUUUACCCUUCUCUUUUAAAUGCACUUUAUUUUUAGAGCAGUUUUAGGUUCUCAGUAAAAUUGAGCAGAAUGUAGGGAGUCCCAUAUGUCCCUACCCCUACAUAUACACAGCUUUCCCCACUGUCAACAUCCCUCACCAGAGUGGUACAUUUGUUAUAACUGCCUAUUAACUUUUUAAAUGCAAAUAAAAAUAUAUCAUUUGUUCCAUUCCUUUAACAGACAGCAUUUUUUAAAAGUAAAUCAUCACUCUAUUCAUCAGAGAUGGCACCUUUAUUAGCACUAAAAUCACUAAGUAUUUGGGUCAAUCUAUGGACUGCACUUUGCUGUUUAUUCACAAAUAUGUACUAUAUUGUUUUCUUUACUAAAAUAUUAUAUUUCUUUUAAUAUUAUAUGGCUAACUUCCCUUUGUUGUUCUCCUUGUCCUUGUUGGGUUCUGGAGUUUCACUUUGUGGUAAGAUUUCAUACUAAUUUUCCCUGAUUAGAAUUCAUUUUACUUCCAAAAUCUGAGAAAUCAGGUCUUUCAUCAAUUUUGUAAAACUUUAGUAAUUUACUUUGAAUAUUGCCUCUUCCUCAUUCUCUCUUCCCCUUUUCUAUAACUCUUAUUAGCCAUAUUUGAAACCUUUCCUUUUUUCCCCCUCUCUUAAUGUCAUGGUUGUAAUCUUGCUUAUUGGUGUUGAUUUCUAGGUAAUUUCUUCAGUUCUAUCCCUCAGUUCACCAAUUCUUUGUGAAGCUUUGUCUAAUCUGUUUAAUGUUUCCAUAUAGGUGUUCAUUGUAAUUACUACCUUUACAUUUUCACAAGUUACUUAGGGUUUUUUUAAUUACAUGGUUUAUUUUUAAAUUACCUUGUUUUUAAAGUCUUGUUUCUUUUAGUAUGCUUGAUUUUCAUUUCUGGAAUGUGAGAAUUUCCCUUACUUUUGUGUGCACACCUAUAUAUUUAAUAGGAUUUUUGACAUAUUUUUAUCUAACAUUUCUAAGUUUUUAGUAGAUCAAAGUGUUUCAGGAUAUCUAGUUUUUACACUCAUCACUUUUCUAAGAACUCUUUCUUUUAUUAUACUUUAAGUUUUAGGGUACAUGUACACAACAUGCAGGUUUGUUACAUAUGUAUACAUAUGCCAUGUUGGUGUGCUGCACCCAUUAACUCAUCAUUUAACAUUAGGUAUAUCUCCUAAUGCUAUCCCUCCCCCCUCCCCCCAUGUUUAAGGAGAAACAUCACACACAUUGUUCAAUUCCUACCUAUGAGUGAGAACAUGUGGUGUUUGGUUUUGAACUCUUAAUAGCCACAUGUGAAGUCUCUUAUUUUCUAAGGCUUUAUCUUUUCUCUCACUCUCUAUUUUUCAUCCAUGCUUUCAGAUCUUCCAUUAAGUAGGGUGAAGGGUUAAAAAAUCAUCAGCUAAAAGAGCAGAAUAUUAUCAUUGGUGCUCUAUUUGAAUCUCAAAAUCUCUUUGUAUAAAUGAAAUUCAGAUGUUCCACAACAGCCUCCACCAUAGUUUUACUUCACUGGGUACACAGUUUGAUGAUUCUCUCAUCCUGCCUCUGGCUAGUAGGCCCCUUUAGAUGAGUUGCUAUUUUUCACUACCCACAGAGUCAAGGUCAAAUCUCAUGGCUGUGAAUUUUAAAUGAUGAGAUCCCUGCAGGUAGUGUCAGGCAGAGCACCCUUUAAACUUACUGACUUGUAGUAUAAAACUUAGCAAGCUAUAAGUCCUGCACCAUGAGCCCCUGGAGCCAGCAUGAUAGCACUCCAAUCUUCCUACACACCGACCCACAAGUUUAAGGUCAAAAAGAUUUAUCCCAUUUCAGAUCUUCUUGGCUUUUUGUGGACUGAAAUAGGUGAAUUAAAGUUCGUUCUGAAGUCUUAAACUUUAAGUGACUGUCUGUUUCUCCUGUAAUUUCUAGUUUAUGAAUGUUUCUAUUUUAUCAUUAUAAAGAAUUCUUCUUUAUCUAAUGGUUAUUGCUUUUUGGCUUGUAUUCUAAUUUGUCCAAUACUAAGAUCAUGGUUCCUACUUUCUGCUUUUUUUUUUUAUUAUUAUACUUUAAGUUUUAGGGUACAUGUGCACAAUGUGCAGGUUAGUUACGUAGGUAUACAUGUGCCAUGCUGGUGCGCUGCACCCACUAACUCAUCAUCUCGCAUUAGGUGUAUCUCCCAAUGCCAUCCCUCCCCCCUCCCCCCACCCCUUUCUGCUUUCUUUGUACUUAUAUAAUAAAACUUUACUCAUCCUUUUACUUUCAACCUUUCAAAACCACUUUGGUUUUUGGGUAUGUUUCUUGCAUACAGAACUGGGUUUCAUUACUGUGAUCAAUUGUGAUAUUUUUCUUACAACAGCUGAUUUAUAAAAGCUUUUACAUUUUUUUUUAAUGACAGUAAGACUGGUCUUAGAUAUUUCAUAUUUUAUGUUAUGCUUACUGAUCUUUACGGAUUUUUCAAAGUUCCAUUACAUACAUUGUUCUUAGUUUUAUCCAUACAGAUCUUAAAUAUUUUGAAAGCUUUAUAAUUUUAUAGAACUGCUUAUCUUUUUAACUGUGAAAGAAUAAGUAAUCCUCCAUCUGUUUAAAAAGGGUAUUUCCCUACUAUGAGAAAUGUAAAUGUCAGCAUAUUUACUCUUAAUUUUUUCCUUUCAUCUACAUCAUCAAAUUUUAGUCAAUAGGCCUAUAUUUGUAAUAUUUCAUCUGUCCACUUACAUGGAAAUUCUGACUCUUUGCACUUGCUCUACUUUCCUUCUUUUCUCAGUCCCCUCCCAAUUCAUUACGGUUGUGUCAUUUGUACAUUAUUAGCAUAUAUAAAAAGUAAAUUCUGGUCUGUCACAGUAAUAUGAACAUUUAUUUUAGUCUUAGUUUUAUGGUUAAAUUUAUUCAGUGCUCACCAGCGGUCCUUAGCAAUAGUUUCUCCAGUCAUUCCUAGUUGGUUGGACUUUAUUCCCCACAAUUUCCUCAAGAUUUAGUCACAGAAAUAAUUUGCUGUAUGGCUAAAAAAUAUUUGACAGCAUCCUUUUUACUUAAAGGAUAGUUUGGCUCCCACUUUCUUCAUUUAAUUAUGAUUGUUAUAGUUUUUUGUAUUGAAGGUUAUUUUAGAGUCUAAAGCCAGACUCAUUUUUCUCCUUAUUUGUGCACUAUUAUACAAAGUAUUCUUCUAUUUAAGUCCAGUAAUGCACUUUGAUGCUAACCAUUCUAGGUCAGUUUUCCCUGGCAAACAAUAUGUCCUCUAAAUAAAAAUGGCAAAAUCUUACAUCUAGACUUCACUGAAUUAUAGAUUUAAAUAUUCGUUUUGUUCCAUUAUUCUGCUUUUCUUAUUUGGGAACUCCAUUUAUGCCAUUAUUAUUAUUUUGGCUUUUUUUUUUUUUUUUGAGAUGGAGUCUCCCUCUGCUUCCCAGGCUCUGGAAUGCAAUGGCACGGUCUCAGCUCAUUGCAACCUCCACCUCCCGGGUUGAAGCAAUUCUCCUGCCUCAGCCUCCCGAGUAGCUGGGAUGACAGGCACCUGCCACCAUGCCCGGCUAAUUUUUGUAUUUUUAGUAGAGAUGGUGUUUCACCAUGUUGGCCAGGCUGGUCUCAAACUGCUGACCUCGUUGAUCUGCCCACCUCGGCCUCCCAAAGUGCUGGGAUUACAGGCAUGAGCCAGCACACCUGGCCAAUUUAUGCCAUUAUGGUAAUUUGUUUUUCUCCCAUGUCGCUCAUUUUCUUUCUAAUCCUAAACUCAUAUUUUCAUCUAUUCAUAAUAUUUGCUUUUUUUUCAGUUUUAUCUUCUGUGUAUUUCACUAUGCUACUAGCCAGAGUUUUGCCUUUGAGCAAUUUCCAAUUUUAUUUUUUUGUGUAUAGUUAUUUUCUUCCAGUAUUUGUCCAAUAUUUUAUUAACUCAUAAUUAAAUACUUCCAUGCUAUCUGUGUUAGUCCAUUCUCAUGCUGCUAUGAAGAAAUACCCAAGAUUGGCUAAUUUAUAAAGGAAAGAGGUUUAAUUGACUCACAGUUCUGCAUUGCUGGGGAGGCCUCAGGAAACUUACAAUCAUGGUGGAAGGCAAGGAGAAGUAGGCACCUUCUUCACAGGGCAGGAAGAUGGAGUGAGGGAAAGCAGGGGAAAUGCCAAAUGCUUACAAAACCAUCAGAUCUCAUGCGACUCACUAUUACAAGAACAGCAGGGGGGAACUGCCCCCAUGAUCCAAUUAUGUCUACCUGGUCCCACCCUUUACAGGUGAGGAUUACAAGUCAAGAUGAGAUUUUAGGUGGGGGGACACAACCAAACCAUAUCACUAUGUUAACAUUUCUUACAACAUUUUUUUUUUCCAGAUAUGGAUCUUGCUACAUUGCCCAGGCUGGACUCAAACUCCUGGGCUCAAGCAAUCCUCCUGCGUAAGCCUCCGGAGUAGCUGGAUUACUUCUCCAAAUUCUGUUUAGUGGUUCUUUCUCAGAAGCUAUGUAUGUAUGUAUGUAUGUAUGUAUGUAUGUAUGCAUUUGUUUAUUUUUAACUUAUGAAAUUUUUAAAUCAAAAUGCUAUGUAUUCCAUAGCAAUAUUUUUCUGCUAAGUGCUAUUCAUGUACUGGUUACUUUAACUUAUUUUUUCCAUGUUUUUUAUCUGAUUCACCUGCACUGAUGAUGUGCCAAUUCUUUUGAUGCAGUCUAAUUUACGUGGACCAUCUGUCUGCAGGACACUUCCAUGCAUAUGUGUAAAAGAAGGGACAAGGGUAACCUUUUGCUUUCACAAUCCACAAACUUUCCUUUCUCUAUAGCCACAGAGAUAGACUGCUUGCCACAAAUACAGCUCAUCUGUGUAAUUCUUUGUGAUAUAUCUUCUCCUUUUCUGAAACCAAUCUGAUUCAAAUAAAACUCUGCUAUCAGGCAUGA